AUGGGGGGAACCCUGACCGAGCAACGCCGCGUGAGUGAAGAAGGUUUUCGGAUCGUAAAGCUCUGUUGUAAGAGAAGAACGAGUGUGAGAGUGGAAAGUUCACACUGUGACGGUAACUUACCAGAAAGGGACGGCUAACUACGUGCCAGCAGCCGCGGUAAUACGUAGGUCCCGAGCGUUGUCCGGAUUUAUUGGGCGUAAAGCGAGCGCAGGCGGUUAGAUAAGUCUGAAGUUAAAGGCUGUGGCUUAACCAUAGUACGCUUUGGAAAUCGUUUAACUUGAGUGCAGAAGGGGAGAGUGGAAUUCCAUGUGUAGCGGUGAAAUGCGUAGAUAUAUGGAGGAACACCGGUGGCGAAAGCGGCUCUCUGGUCUGUAACUGACGCUGAGGCUCGAAAGCGUGGGGAGCAAACAGGAUUAGAUACCCUGGUAGUCCACGCCGUAAACGAUGAGUGCUAGGUGUUGGGUCCUUUCCGGGGUUUAGUGCCGCAGCUAACGCAU
rnacentral:rRNA from 1 species